AUUGAACGCUGGCGGCAUGCUUUACACAUGCAAGUCGAACGGUAACAGGCCGCAAGGUGCUGACGAGUGGCGAACGGGUGAGUAAUGCAUCGGAACGUGCCCAGUCGUGGGGGAUAACGCAGCGAAAGCUGUGCUAAUACCGCAUACGAUCUAUGGAUGAAAGCGGGGGACCGUAAGGCCUCGAGCGAUUGGAGCGGCCGAUGUCAGAUUAGGGAGGUGGGGGGGUAAAGGCUCACCAAGCCAACGAUCUGUAGCUGGUCUGAGAGGACGACCAGCCACACUGGGACUGAGACACGUCCCAGACUCCUACGGGAGGCAGCAGUGGGGAAUUUUGGACAAUGGGCGCAAGCCUGAUCCAGCAAUGCCGCGUGCAGGAUGAAGGCCUUCGGGUUGUAAACUGCUUUUGUACGGAACGAAACGGUGAGCUCUAAUACAGUUUGCUAAUGACGGUACCGUAAGAAUAAGCACCGGCUAACUACGUGCCAGCCGCCGCGGUAA
rnacentral:rRNA from 1 species